AAGAAGAACAAAAAAAAAACAAAAAAAAGAGAGAGGCUUAUGCUAUUAUAUAUACGUAAAAGGCGGCUACAGUUUCUUUCCUUAGUUUUAGUUUUUUUGUUUGUCUUUCUGUUUUCAUCUCUUCACUU
rnacentral:ribozyme from 13 species